GAUGAACGCUGGCGGCGUGCCUAAUACAUGCAAGUCGAACGCAUUGUGGUUGAAAUGAUAUGAAGAACUUGUUCAGAUUUGAUUUUCAACAUUGCAAUGAGUGGCGAACGGGUGAGUAACACGUGGGAAACCUACCUCUUAGCAGGGGAUAACAUUUGGAAACAAAUGCUAAUACCGUAUAAUAAUUAAAACCGCAAUGGUUUUAGUUUAAAAGAUGGUCUUGCUAUCACUAAGAGAUGGUCCCGCGGUGUAUUAGUUAGUUGGUGAGGUAAUGGCUCACCAAGACAAUGAUACAUAGCCGAGUUGAGUAGACUGACCGGCACAAU
rnacentral:rRNA from 1 species